rnacentral:rRNA from 1 species
UCCUACGGGGCGCAGCAGUGGGGGAUAUUGCACAAUGGGGGAAACCCUGAUGCAGCGACGCCGCGUGAGUGAAGAAGUAUUUCGGUACGUAAAGCUCUAUCAGCAGGGAAGAAUAAUGACGGUACCUGACUAAGAAGCCCCGGCUAACUACGUGCCAGCAGCCGCGGUAAUACGUAGGGGGCAAGCGUUAUCCGGAUUUACUGGGUGUAAAGGGAGCGUAGACGGCUGUGCAAGUCUGAAGUGAAAUGCCGGGGCUCAACUCCGGAACUGCUUUGGACACUGUACAGCUAGAGU